GUAGGGAGCGAGCGUUGUCCGGAUUCAUUGGGCGUAAAGCGCGCGUAGGCGGCCUCGCAAGUCGGUUGUGAAAUCCCGGGGCUCAACCCCGGGACUGCGUCCGAUACUGCGAGGCUGGAGGUAGGUAGGGGAGAUCGGAAUUCCUGGUGUAGCGGUGAAAUGCGCAGAUAUCAGGAGGAACACCGGUGGCGAAGGCGGAUCUCUGGGCCUCACCUGACGCUGAUGCGCGAAAGCUAGGGGAGCGAACAGGAUUAGAUACCCUGGUAGUCCUAGCCGUAAACGUUGGGUGCUAGGUGUGGGCGGAUAUCGACCCCGUCCGUGCCGAAGCUAACGCAUUAAGCACCCCGCCUGGGGAGUACGGCCGCAAGGCUAAA
rnacentral:rRNA from 1 species